GAGGGUGUAGCUCAAGUGGUAGAGAAUAUGCUUAUCAUGCACAAAGUCCUGGGUUCAAUCCCCAGUACCUCCU
rnacentral:tRNA from 1 species